UGGUCAAGUUAUUAAGGGUGCAGGGCGGAUGCCUUGGCACUAGGAGCCGAUGAAGGACGUGAUAAGCUGCGAUAAGCUUCGGGGAGUUGCACGUAAACUUUGAUCCGAAGAUUUCCGAAUGAGGAAACUCACUUAGAGUAAUGUCUAAGUAUCAUUAAGUGAAUACAUAGCUUAAUGAGGGGAACUCAGGGAACUGAAACAUCUAAGUACCUGAAGGAAGAGAAAGAAAUUCGAUUCCGUAAGUAGCGGCGAGCGAACGCGGAUUAGCCCAAACCAAUAAAGUUUUCUUUAUUGGGGUUGCGGACAUAUCAUAACGAAGAGGUAUCGUAAUUGAAGAGGUUUGGAAAGACCCACCACAGAAGGUAAUAGUCCUGUAUGUUAAACGAGAAGACUUUAGAUAUGAUCCAGAGUACCACGGGACACGUGAAACCCUGUGGGAAGCAGGAGGGACCACCCUCCAAGGCUAAAUACUACCUAGUGACCGAUAGCGUAUAGUACCGUGAGGGAAAGGUGAAAAGAACCCCGGGAGGGGAG
rnacentral:rRNA from 1 species